rnacentral:misc_RNA from 1 species
AGGAGACAUUCGUGUGUGCGG